CAAGAAAGACUAACAUGGCCUAAUGAUCUAAUGGGAAUGUGAAAUCUUACAUAUGUAACAUCUAUACAUGUUAUCUGAGGUAGUGAGAAACCACUGAAAAGCUUUAUCCAGGAGAGAUACAUGGUCAGUCUCUUAAAUAUAACACUAUAAUAUUAAAAAAUGGACUACAGGACACAAGAAUGAAUUGCAGAAAAUGUAGAAGUAGUUUCAGAGACAAUGCAACAUUGCAGGUGAGAAGAUGAAAACUAUAGACGAGGAUUGUGGCAAUGGUAGACAGAGAAAGGAAGAAGGACUUCCUACAGGAACUUGUGGUUCAUUGGAUGUAGAAGAAUAAAGGUGUGGGAAGAUUCAAAGAUAAAACCCUGGUUUCUGGGCUAAACAACUGAGUGAAUGGCUGGGUUAUUUUCUUUCACAGAGGACACUAGGAUAGGAGCAGGUUCUUGGGUGAAUUUUGAUUUAGGUUUUGGACUUUCUCUUAGAGGUUAAAAAAAAAAUUCAAAGUGGAGACACUGAGCAGAUAAUAAUAAGAAUCGUCUAGUUUGGAGUCAUUGGCAUAUAGAUGGUAAUUUAAACCACAGGAGGUAUGAAAUAACUUACAAGAAGAGAAUAAUUGAGAAGAAAAGAAGCUCUGACAAGGGUCAGGUAGAAAAUGAGUAAUAGACAAAGGAGUCUUGAGAAGGAGCUAACAAAGAACUCAGAGAGUACAGUGUCACAGAGAGCCAAAGUAGGACACAGCAAGAAAUUUUAAAAUAAGAAGGAUAGUGAAUGAACGGACUCAAAUUUUGCAGAGAGAUAAAAUAGAGACUGAUAAACAUUAGUUGAAUUUACUCAUUAGUAAACUUAAUGAAAGUUGUUCUGGAGAAAUGAUGAAAGAAGUUUGCAAUUAUUUAAAGAAGUUUUGGGGAAGAGACGAACGGAUCUAGCCAACCUAUAAGAUGAUUGGUUAUGGAGAGGAGAAAGAAGUUAAGACUGUAUCUAGGGAUGGAAUAACUGCUGAUCACGAAGAGACUUUUAAGAUAAUAAAAAGACUUUAGCAUACUACCAUGCUGAUAGAUGACUGAAUACUGAGGGAGAUAAUGCUGCUGUCGGCAAGUGGAUUUUCAGUAGGAAAAGGAGUCCAAAGGGGAAUAUUGUCUUUGGAUUGAUUCAUGAAACUCCUGUCAUAACUGAAGUGGACUUAUUUUUCUAUCACAGGAGUUUCAUGAAUGUCUCUGAAGUCAAUACUGCCCCUUGGACUUUAAUAUUGUGAGCCCUGAUGGAGUUUUAUAUUACUCAUGGAAUUAUUUCAUUUGCUAAGGAGAAACUUCAAAACAAUUGUUUGUAUUUACUCAACAUAUUUCUUUCUUGCAAGCUCUUUUAUUUCUAAUUAAAGUUUUUUUGUUUCCUUGUAUGUUUUUUCUAGGAAAAUUCCUAUCAUAUUUUAUAAUAUCAUCUAGGAGAUAUCUGGAGCAGAGUCAACCCUCUCAGUUACAUAAAAUAAAGAAUGGCAUAUUGUUGGAAAACAGAUCUAAAUCCCAGUGAAUCACAUGAAAAGCAGCAAAAGCACCAAGAAUUUCACUCUGUAAAUCAACCUCUUUUUCCUAGCCACACCAGUCUGGGUUUUGAUCAUGUAGUAGAUGAGAUCAGUAAUACAAUCCCACUCUAUCAGAGAGAAAUUGAAGAAAACACCAUUUUUGUGCCCAGUGCACCACACGGGGACUCAAAAAGGCAUUCAUUAGAUGAAGCACACCAAAUAUCCUUAAAUGAAUUCACUUCUAAAAGCACAGAACUCUCCUGUCACCAAGUUAAUAAAACAGGAGUAAUUGGUUUUAGGCAUUCCGUGCUACCAAAUCCUCAAAACAUAAAUAAAGAAAGCUUUGGGGGAAACCCCAUAGGAAAAUACCAUGGUGCUGAUGAUUACGGAUUCAAUAUUUUACCUCCAUCAUCCACUAGUGUGGAUGAAAUUAAUUCAUGGAGUGAACUGGAUAACUACCAUAUAGGAUUUGAAAGUAGCAUUCCUCCUAUAUAUCCAUCCUUCUCAACUGACUUGAUGCCAAAAGAAGAAAAUAAAAGCAGUAGAAAUAUGAACAUUGUGGAACCAUCUCUGAUGCUCUUUAAAGGUUCUUUUCUACCCAGGACCUGGGAAAGCACAUUGCCAAAGAACAAAGAGCUGACAGGUUGUUUCAUUCAGCUGGUUGAAGUACCUCAGGGCAGUAAUAGAAGUCUGGCCUCCUUUUGCAACAAAGUAAAAAAAAUAAGAGAAACAUAUCAUGCAGCUGACAUUAAUUCCAAUUCGGGGAAGAUCUGGAGCACGACUACAGCAUUUCCAUACAAGUUCUUUUCUAAUACUAAGGUUAAUAUAAAUAUUUUUACUGAGGACUCAACACAACAACUUCAUUUUAUGCCAUAUGCUAAUUAUCUUGUCAAAGACCUAAUAGCAGAAAUUCUACAUUUUUGUACAAAUGACCAGUUAUCACCCCAAAAUUAUCUUCUAAGUAUAUGUGGCUAUGAAGAAUUUUUACAAAACGAUCACUAUUUGGGAAGCCACAGAGUAUUUCAGAAAAAUAAAUCUGUUAUUCAACUUAAUCUACAGAAAAAUAGGGAAUCUCCAGGAAAGUUAUCUCGAAAGCAUGAAGAUGACCACAGUCAGUUUUAUCUGAACCAACUUCUAGAAGUUAUGCCUAUUUGGAAAGUAUCCAGACAAUGUCUCUCAACAGUAAUCAAAAAAUAUGACUCCCACCUGAAAUACCUAUUGAAAACCCAGCAAAAUCUGGAUAAUAUUAUUGACGAUGUUAAAAAUAUAUGCAUUGUUCUGGGAUGUGUGGAGACCAAACAAAUUACAGAUGCUGUAAAUGAACUAAAUCUUAUUCUUCAGAGAAAAGCAGAGAAUAUUCAUCAAAAUUCAGAAACUUCAGCAAAAGGUUUGAUAGAAAGAGUGACAACUGAGCUAUCUACCUCCGUCUACCACCUAAUUGAUAUCUAUUGCAGCAGCUUUUAUGCAGAUUUCCAGCCUCUAAAUGCACCUGUGCAUAGUGUUUCCUGCGUAAAUCUGGGGCUCCAUUCCCACCUUAGCUUCACAGUGUAUGCAGCCCACAAUAUUCCAGAGACCUGGGUGCACAGGUAUAAAGCAUUUUCUUUUUCCUGUUGGCUUACAUAUGCUGGAAAGAAACUGUGCCAAGUGAGAAACUGCAGAAAUAUUCCAGUCAAAAAAUUGUUUUUUUUCUUGGUCAACUGGAAUGAAACAAUCAAUUUUCCUCUUGAAAUAAAGUCACUUCCAAGGGAAUCCAUGCUCACUAUAAAACUGUUUGGGAUUACCUGUGCAACGAACAAUGCGGAUUUAUUGGCCUGGACUUGUCUUCCGCUGUUUCCAAAACAGAGCAGCUAUGCAGGUGCCCUUCCAUCUCAUGACAAAUCAAUUCUCAGGUCUAUGUUAUUCAGCACAACAUUACAGAGUGAGCCUCCCAAAGAACUGAUAGCUCCAGGAGUGUGGGAUGUCAGUCAGCCAUCCCCAGUGACCCUGCAGAUUGAUUUUCCAGCUACUGAGUGGGAAUAUAUGAAAUUUGAUUCUGAAGAGAAUAGAAGUGAUCUUGAAGAACCACCAAAAGAAUGUUUAAAACAUAUUGCCAGACUUUCACAGAAACAGUCUCCCUUACUACUCUCUGAGGAAAAGAGAAGAUACUUAUGGUUUUAUCGCCUCUACUGCAAUAAUGAAAAUUGCUCCCUUCCUUUGGUCCUGGGUAGUGCCCCUGGAUGGGAUGAAACAACUGUUUCGGAAAUGCAUACCAUUUUGAGAAGAUGGAAAUUUUCUCACCCUUUGGAGGCACUUGGACUUUUGACUUCCAGUUUUCCAGAUCAAGAAAUCCGUAAAGUUGCAGUUCAACAGUUAGACAACCUCUUGAAUGAUGAACUACUGGAAUAUCUUCCACAGCUAGUUCAGGCUGUCAAGUUUGAAUGGAACCUUGAAAGUCCUCUAGUGCAACUUCUGUUACACCGCUCACUGCAAAGCAUCCAGAUUGCCCAUCGUCUUCACUGGCUGCUAAAGGAUGCACAGAAUGAAGCUUAUUUUAAAAGCUGGUAUCAGAAGCUAUUGGCUGCUCUCCAAUUCUGUGCAGGAAAAGCCUUGAGUGAUGAGUUUUCCAAGGAACAGAAACUCAUCAAAAUUCUGGGAGACAUUGGUGAAAAAGUCAAAUCUGCCAGUGACCCUCAAAGACAGGAGGUACUGAAGAAAGAACUUGGCAGACUAGAAGAAUUCUUUCAGUGUACAAAUACCUGUCACCUUCCUCUGAACCCUGCCCUAUGCAUAAAGGGAAUUGAUGGAGAUGCAUGUUCAUAUUUCACAUCUAAUGCUUUGCCAUUGAAGAUUACUUUCAUUAAUGCUAAUCCAAUGGGCAAAAACAUCAGCGUCAUUUUUAAGGCUGGAGAUGAUCUUCGUCAGGAUAUGCUUGUCCUGCAGAUUAUUCGUGUGAUGGACAAUAUUUGGCUGCAGGAGGGCCUGGAUAUGCAAAUGAUCAUUUAUAGAUGUCUAUCCACAGGAAAAGGCCAAGGAUUGGUGCAGAUGGUGCCCGAUGCUAUAACCCUCGCGAAAAUCCAUCGCCAUUCUGGACUGAUAGGACCACUGAAAGAAAAUACAAUCAAAAAAUGGUUCAGUCAGCACAACCAUUUAAAGGUGGAUUAUGAAAAGGCCUUGAGGAACUUUUUCUAUUCCUGUGCUGGCUGGUGUGUGGUAACGUUCAUCCUGGGAGUCUGUGACCGUCACAAUGACAAUAUCAUGCUGACAAAGUCAGGCCACAUGUUUCAUAUUGACUUUGGAAAAUUCCUGGGCCAUGCACAAACAUUUGGAGGGAUAAAAAGGGACAGAGCCCCUUUUAUUUUUACUUCAGAGAUGGAGUACUUUAUUACAGAGGGUGGGAAAAACCCACAGCAUUUCCAAGAUUUUGUGGAGCUUUGCUGUCGAGCUUAUAAUAUUGUCAGAAGACACAGCCGCCUGCUCUUAAACCUGCUAGAAAUGAUGCUACAUGCAGGAUUGCCUGAGCUAAGUGGAAUCCAAGACCUGAAAUAUGUGUAUAAUAACCUUCGUCCACAAGACACAGACCUGGAAGCGACAAGUCAUUUUACCAAGAAAAUAAAGGAAAGUCUGGAGUGUUUCCCUGUUAAAUUGAAUAACUUGAUCCACACACUUGCACAAAUGACAGCCAUAAAUCCUGCCAAAUCUACUUCGCAGACUUUUUCCCGGGAAUCCUGUACGAUGAGUGCAACCCAGUUAAUCCAAAGAGCAGCAAUUUUAGGGUUCAGCAAGAAAACUAGGCAUCUUUAUCUAAUCCAGGUGACUCACAGUAACAAUGAAACAAGCCUGACAGAAAAAUCAUUUGACCAGUUUUCAAAACUUCACAGCCAACUUCAAAAGAAGUUUGCAUCAUUGGCCCUCCCAGAGUUUCCUCAUUGGUGGCACUUACCUUUUACAAAUUCAGAUCACAAAAGAUUCAGAGAUCUAAAUCAUUACAUGGAACAGAUAUUAAAUGGAUCGUAUGAAGUUGCAAACAGUGAUUGUGUACUUAGUUUUUUCCUCUCUGAGCCUGUGGAACAAACAAUGGAAGAAUCAUCACCUGUGGACCUAGGUGAGAAGUUUCCUGACAAGAAGCCUAAGGUGCAGUUAGUCAUAACAUACGAGGAUGCGAAGCUGACCAUACUUGUGAAGCACGUGAAGAACAUUGAGUAUAGGACGAGCCUAUAUUGUGACUCCUCCCCUCCUACCAGUCUCAUUGUGGUUGUAGAAGAUCUUUUCUGCAUCUCCCAGAUGGCUCCACGCCCAGUGCACAUGUUGAAUUUUAUCUUUUAUCAUAUCCCAGUGCAGUUCGGAGGAGGAAAACAAAAUCUGUUCCAAAAUGUACCGACCCCACUUACAAUGAAAUUGCAGGAUACUCUUUCCUGAUGCUGAGCCACAGCUCCCAGUCAGCCAUGCAAUCACAAGAGUAAACAGCCAAUAUGCUUACAACCAUUUGGUAGUAUAUGAUGAAGUCACAGAGCUCCAAGGACAUGUCUUAAUGCUUAUUGUAAAGAGCAAAACCACCUUUGUAGGAGCAAUUAAUAUCCAACUCUGUAGUGUCCCA